UAAGUUUAAAAGUCGAUGUUUACAACCAUGUCAUCUUUGAUUGACAAAGUUGUCAAGUUUGCCAAUUUAAAUUAUUGUGGUAUUGUCGAUCAUAGAUAGGUUUUUAUCAGCUUAAGCUUAGAAAAGCUCUGCCCACUAGCAACCGUUACAGACAUAGUCAAUAAUAUUUGAGGAGCAAUAAUUCAAAAGGAAUAUGAUCCAAAAUUUACAUUUUCUAAUUUAAUCCACUACUGCAAAUCAUUCAAAUGGAUCUUUAUCCCCUUUAAAACCUAUGUUAAAAUGUCGCUGUUAGUUCAGAUGAAUUAUUAUUCAUAAAUAUAUUUCAAAUGGAAUUUUAUUUACACUUGCAAUUUGGUUCAGACCAGACUCUGCUCUAGUUUUUACAAUCAGAAAUCAAAUAUAGGUUGUAUGUUUUUCACUUCAGUGUUGUUUACAAUGUGUGUUCUAACGGAUUUAGUGGAAUAUAUUUAUUUUUUGAGUGGCAAGUUCUCGAAUUUGAAUGAGUUGUAGUCAGUAAUGCUAAUCAGGUAGCAGAAAGAGACAUAGAAAUGUUACAAAACGACAAAAAACAAGUAAUUGAGGUAUCUGGAUUAUUUUCCCAAUUUAUAAAAUUUUGAGAGACCAUGUAAACAUGACGGACCAACAUGAAAAUGUAUGAAACUUUCGAAGCAAGACAUUAUGAUAGAAAGUGGCCCAAAAAUUAAAUUUUAAACAUCAGGGUGGACAAGGCAUUUGUACUAGUGAACUUGUGUUUGAGUUUUAGUGAGUGAGACACAGUGGGUGGUAUAAGAGGCGAAGUGUCCACUUAAUAGCUUGUUUACUCACAUUAGUUCUAGCUCUUAAAAAAAUAGAUUUUUCUUCCAAA